rnacentral:rRNA from 1 species
GACGAACGCUGGCGGCGUGCUUAACACAUGCAAGUCGAACGGUGAAGGGAUCAGCUUGCCGGUUCUGGAUGAGUGGCGAACGGGUGAGUAACACGUGAGUAACCUGCCCCCUUCUUCUGGAUAACCGCAUGAAAGUGUGGCUAAUACGGGAUAUUCUGCGCCUGCUGCAUGGUGGGUGUGGGAAAGAUAUUGUUUCGGUGGGGGAUGGGCUCGCGGCCUAUCAGCUUGUUGGUGGGGUGAUGGCCUACCAAGGCGGUGACGGGUAGCCGGCCUGAGAGGGGGGACGGUCACACUGGGACUGAGACACGGCCCAGACUCCUACGGGAGGCGGCAGUGGGGAAUAUUGCACAAUGGGCGCAAGCCUGAUGCAGCGACGCCGCGUGAGGGAUGGAGGCCUUCGGGUUGUGAACCUCUUUCGCCAGUGAAGCAGGCCUGUCCCUUGUGGGUGGGUUGACGGUAGCUGGAUAAGAAGCGCCGGCUAACUACGUG